AGCAAAUACACCUAAAGAAAUUCAAUCUGAUCAGUGCAGUUUGCUACAAGCUGAAGUUCCUACACAUCUUCCACAGCAAUGGAAGAUGACACAACAAUCGUGUCUACAGUCUAAUCUACAAAGAAGGAUCGUCAAGUGUCUGUCCUCUUCGACAAUUUAAUGUCUGUACUAUUGCCAUCUUUUGGAAGACCUAACUGCAGAAGUGUUUCCGGAAGGAGG
rnacentral:misc_RNA from 1 species